rnacentral:rRNA from 1 species
UGAGGGAUAUUGGUCAAUGGGCGCAAGCCUGAACCAGCGACGCCGCGUGGGUGAAGAAGGUCUUCGGAUCGUAAAGCCCUUUUCCCACUGAAGAGGAAGGACGGUAGGUGGGGAAGAAGUCUCGGCUAACUACGUGCCAGCAGCCGCAGUAAAACGUAGGAGACAAGCGUUAUCCGGAGUUACUGGGCGUAAAGGGCGUGCAGGUGGCGUCUUAAGUCUGUUGUGAAAGCGCCUGGCUUAACCGGGCGAGGCCAAUGGAGACUGAGAGGCUGGAGGACGGCGGAGGGGUGUGGAAUUCCGGGUGUAGUGGUGAAAUGCGUAGAGAUCCGGAGGAACACCGGAGGCGAAGGCGGCACUCUAAGCCGUACCUGACACUGAGACGCGACAGCACGGGGAGCAAAC